UUUUUUUUUGUUAAAGAUCUUUACUCUUCUUCUCCCACAUCGAUAGGUUUCUAGAUUAUCGGAUAAUCAAAUGGCGGCAUCAGAUGAUGUCUCGAAUGG